CCAGGGGUGGCGGAGUGGCCAAUCGCACCUGACUGUAAAUCAGGCGGGCAUGUUCCCUGCGCAGGUUCGAAUCCUGCCCCCUGGA
rnacentral:tRNA from 1 species